rnacentral:rRNA from 1 species
UACAGAGGGUGCGAGCGUUGUCCGGAAUCACUGGGCGUAAAGGGCGCGUAGGCGGUCUCUUAAGCGUGUGGUGAAAGCCCGGGCUCAACUCCGGGUCGGCCGUGCGAACUGGGGGACUGGAGCUUGUCAGAGGCAGGCGGAAUUCCGGGUGUAGCGGUGGAAUGCGUAGAGAUCCGGAAGAACACCGGUGGCGAAGGCGGCCUGCUGGGACAGUGCUGACGCUGAGGCGCGACAGCGUGGGGGAGCAAACAGG